rnacentral:rRNA from 1 species
AUUGAACGCUGGCGGCAGGCCUAACACAUGCAAGUCGAGCGGAUGAAGGGAGCUUGCUCCUGGAUUCAGCGGCGGACGGGUGAGUAAUGCCUAGGAAUCUGCCUGGUAGUGGGGGAUAACGUCCGGAAACGGGCGCUAAUACCGCAUACGUCCUGAGGGAGAAAGUGGGGGAUCUUCGGACCUCACGCUAUCAGAUGAGCCUAGGUCGGAUUAGCUAGUUGGUGGGGUAAAGGCCUACCAAGGCGACGAUCCGUAACUGGUCUGAGAGGAUGAUCAGUCACACUGAAACUGAGACACGGUCCAGACUCCUACGGGAGGCAGCAGUGGGGAAUAUUGGACAAGGGGCGAAAGCCUGAUCCAGCCAGGCCGCGUGUGUGAAGAAGGUCUUCGGAUUGUAAAGCACUUUAAGUUGGGAGGAAGGGCAGUAAGUUAAUACCUUGCUGUUUUGACGUUACCAACAGAAGAAGCACCGGCUAACUUCGU